AGGACAAGAAGAAUUCAACAAAUGUUAACAGUGCACGAUGUGGCUUUCUUGUCUCCAUGCCCAAUGACCACCUUGUCUUUCUAUCUUAAAAUAAUGCCCAUAACAGUUUUGCUCCACACCAUCUGGAUCCCUUGUGCAAUCCUGUGGUUUUCCCUUCCUCGUCUCUAGCCUCCUGUCCCAACACCACACGUGCUGCAGUGGCCCUCAGCCUCGCCACCCACUCCUUCCUAGUUACAGAUUAAACCCCCGUGGUAGUAAAGUGAGGAGUCGGGUGAGAUGAGGGUUUGCUGGCCUCAUUUCAGAGUGGAAAGCACAUCAUCAAAGGAGAGGGCCACAGAGAUGUUUAAAAACCAUCAGACCCCACACUUGUGCCCAUGUUCUCUUAAAAGAUACCUCCCCAGGAGCCACACUUUGCUAAGCCAGAAAGGCUGGAUUAUACUAUGUUAGUUUCACAUGUAUUGUCCAGACAAGUCUUUCUUUCAGUGUUGAUGCUGUGAGGCUGUAAAUGCAGUGGGAUUUCCUCAUGAGCUGGCCCUUGUCCCUCCCACUGAAAAACUACCUAUUCUUCAAAGUCAGCUCCUCCAGCGCAAGUCCAUU
rnacentral:lncRNA from 1 species